GCACAUAUACGCACAAAAUACCUUAGCCUCUCCAUUUUUCACAAAAACACACACUGAUCUCACCAUAUUUGCACACACAUAUCAUCUUCUCCACAAUAGACUAUACUAUCAGAACACACUAAACAUAGAUAUCCCACACAUGGAAGAACACAUAAAGCAUAAAAAUAAAGCAAAAACUAGAACAGCAGAGAAACGGAGAGAGAGAAUAGUAAGAUCGUGAGAGACAGACAAAUAGAUGAGAGAGAGAUAACAGAGAACCAACGAAGAUAGAAAUAUUAGAUCCAAACAGGAGAGAAACCAUUGACCCUAUUGCUGUUGUUGUUUUGGCAGUGUCUCGCCGUAAAACGUCGCUGGUUGCUCCUAAAUUCACCAAAAUCCAACCCGUACUUGUCAAAACUCAUCGAAAAUCUUAAAAUUUGCGAAAAACUCUACUACUCCAUCACUGUUUGAUCUUACCAGAGCUCCGACUAAACCGAUACAAUCAAUCCAAGUGCAACUCCAGCCAGACCCAUUUAAAGUUAGUAUGACAUUCGUGAUUUGAGGUUUGCAUUGAUAAGUCUUCUACCGGUUAAGUCUAUUUUGGCUGAAGUCGUUACCGAGUUUGGUGUUAUUGAGGUUCUGCUCAUUGGUCGAGGUUCAAUUCGCGGAUUCGGAGUGCAAAUUUCUUCUUCUCAUUCAAAUAAUAUUUGAGUUUGAAAGCUUCAUUUGAGGUUUAAUUUUCUCAUCUCUCUCUUUAUUUUGAUUUCGAUGUGAUUGUGGAUGUGAUUCGAUGCCUUUGACUAUUUGUUUGGAUGAUUUGGGUGAUGAUUGGGUGUUAUUUGCUUUUGAAUAAUUGAUCUCAAUUGUAGGUGAUGAGAAUAUGAAUGUGGGUUUGUAUUGCAAAGGAAUUUAGGGGGUGAGAUUAAGAAAUUGAUAAAAGUUAAACGUAGAUUAAUUUUUGUUUUGGUGUUCUUUUGUUUAAUUUUGUAUUAGUAUGAAUGUGAUAGAUUUAUGCCUUGUUGAAAUGGAUAGGCAAUAUAGGUUCAGGUAGGCAAAAAUUUAGAAAUGAUAUUUUGGUUGAAUGUUGGAAUGUGCGUGUGAAUGUUUCUUUCUAGUUUAUCGUAUUUAAUUCAAAUGUAUUCAUUUAGUCGGGGAAUGCCCCGAGACACAUUGUAUUUAUUCAUUGGGGAAUGCCCCGACGUAUCAUGUUGGCGAAGGCGGAUCGUGAUCAAGGCCCGAGGCAUCGGGUAAAGACAGGGAGCAUAGUUAGGAUUAGUAUAGGUUAGAUAGGAUUUAUUUUCGUAUUUUUUUAUUUAUUUUAUUUUAUUUUUGAGACUGUAUAAUCAGACUGAACAUUAUAUUUAUGGGGAUUUAUUUUGAUUUGUGUUUGUUUGUUUGAUUGUUGUGUUUAUGCGGUUUAUACAUUCUUAGCAUCAAAAUUAGCCGAUACGCUCUAUCAAGCGACUGUGGUCGAACCACGGGAUUGAGGGGUGCCUAACACCUUCCCCUCAAUCAACAGAAUUCCUUAGCCGGAAUCUCUAUUCGCAAACCAAAGAGUCAAAUGGUUUUGAAAAGGAUAUUCCAAUGGUGACUUGGCACACCGGAUUAUUCCAAGUGGCAACUCUGAAUAAAAAAUGUAAAUAGUCCUUUUUCAAAAUAAAUUUUUAAUCUUUUGUCACUUAAUAAAAACCCUUUCGAAACUUACAAUACAAUCUUUUCGGGAGUUAAAAUAAAAUUCCUAUACAAAAUGAAACCUACGAUUAUCAAAGAAAAAUCUUUUUGGAUUUUCAAUUUUGCAUUCAUACGUAAAUAAAACUUGAAACUAUUAAAGGAAAAUCUUUUUGUGGUUUUAUUUUAGUGAUGUAUAUGACACCUACUCUAAAUGAAGAGUGAAGAAGAUCUUUUUUUUUUUUUUGGAAUUUUUCAGAUUUCUAUACAAAAUAAAACCUAUAAUUACCAAGGAGAAAUCUUUUGGGGUUUUCAAUUUUGAAUUUCAUACGAAAAUGAAACUUGAAACUAUUAAAGGAAAAUCUUGUUGCAGUUUUCUCUUGAAGAUGUAUAUGAAACACCUACUCUAAAUGAAGAGUGCAUAAAAUAUUUUUUGGGAUUUUUGAAAUAAGAUCCCCGAACCCACAAUAGGCUGCCUAAGUAUCUCACUCCCGAGAGAGGAGAAUCAGGGGUGCGUACUUCGUUCAGAUUGGACAAUUAAGGAUUAUAGAACAAACAAAACCUUGACUUGAGAGACACGAUUACAAGAUGAAAAUAAAAUAUUUUUGGAUUUUUUUUGGCACUUCAUACAAAAAUGACACCAACAGCUAUGAAAGAAAAAUCUUUUUGAAAAUGUUGAAUUAUGAAUGCAUGGUAAAGGAAUAAAAGGAAAAUCUUUUUGAUGUUUUUGAGAAAAUGAGUGCGAAAGGUAAAAAAAAUCUUUUUGAAUAUUUGGAUUGUGAAAAAAUAAAUCAAAAGCCAUAAAGAACUCUAAAAACUUACGAAACACUCUUUUUUUCUUUUCGAAUCACUUUUUUUCUAUUUUUUUUCAACAUUUCUCACCUACGAACUUUACUUCUAACACAUGCUUUCCCCAAAUCAGUCCGUCAAAUGACCACGUUAUCCUCAAAGAUGCAACAUUUAGCAUGUAGGGAUGCUUUAGAGGUGAGUCUCCUACAAAGGGCCACGUGGGUCCCGCUAGGUCUCGAUCUGAUGCAGAUAAGCAUGACCUAAAGCUAAGGUGACCUAUGUUGGGGUCCACUAACAAGGCUGUUCGGGGGAGCGUAUGGUCGAUAGUGGAUUGCUUUAGCUGUCCACCUACUCCAUACAACCCAAUGGCUCCCCCUCCUAAAAUAAGGGUGACUCAACUAUAGCUCGUGUACACACGUGUACUAUGGACUUGUUGCAGAAAAAAAGACUCAGGUUAUGCACAUGAUGCCAGAUAUAAAGCGGUAAUACAUAAAGUAAAAACUGUAAGCAAAGAGCACGUAGACACUCAACAAUGAUAAACAAUAAGAAAAAACAACACAAACAAAAUGUCUAUACACCUAUAGUGCCAAACUAAGCCGAUACAACUCCAAAAUAAGCUCGAAUUCUGAAAAACCCCCAGUGGAAUCGCUAGAGCUAUCACACCCCCUUUUUAACUCCCAAAAAGAUUGUAUUGCAAGUUUCAAAAGGGUUUUUAUUAAGUGACAAAAGAUUAAAAAUUUGUUUCGAAAAAAGACUAUUUAUACUUUUUAUACAGAUUCGCCACUUGGCAUAAUCCGGUGUGCCAAGUCACCAUUGAAAAAUCCUUUUCAAAACCAUUUGACUCUUUAAACUGGUUUGCGAACAGAGAUUCCGGUUAAGGAAUUCUGUUGACCGAGGGGAAGGUGUUAGGCACCCCUCGAUCCCGUGGUUCGACCACAGUCGCUUGAUAGAGCGUAUCAGGUAAUUUUGAUACUAGGAAUGUAUAAACCACAUAAACACACAACAAUCAAACCAACAAACACAAACCAAAAUAAAUCCCCAAAAAUAUAAUGUUUAGUCCGAUUAUACAGUCUCAAAAAUAAAAUAAAAAAAAUAAAAAAAAUAUGAGAAUAAAUCCUAUCUAACCUAUACUAAUCCUAACUACGCUCCCUGUCUUUACCCGAUGCCUCGGGCCUUGAUCACGAUCUGCCUUCGCCAACAUGAUAUGUCGGGGCAUUCCCCGGUGAAUAAAUACAAUGUGUCUCGGGCAUUCCCCGACUAAAUGAAUACAUUUGAAUUAGAUAUGAUAAACUAGAAAGAAACAUUCACAUGCACAUUCCAACAUUCAACCAAAAUAUCAUUCCUAAAUUUUUGCCUACCCUAACCUAUAAAAUGGUUAAAUGGUGAAAAUGCUUUUGGGGAGGGACAAAAUUACGUAUCUACAGAUAGUUCUUCAGAUUUCAAGACUGUCAGAUACAGUCAACUCAGACAUAGUACGGAACUCAAAUAGUUCCAUCAGAUUCAGAACUGUCAGACACAGUCACCUAUGUUAUCAGUUAUAUUCAGAUACAGUCAUUUAUGUUAUCAGUUAUGUCACGUUAUUAGUGUCCAGACUUAGUAGUCAUGCUACCACGGUAUCAGUAUCAUGUUAUCACAUUGUUAGUUACAGUUGCGUAUUUAUGUAUGCAUUCUCACAUUCAUGUUAGACAACCAGUCAUUAUUGAUCCUGUAUGCAAACCAUUGAAUAUAGCCUACCUCACAUGUAUAGUCAGUACAUAUGUACUGAUGCAUUUGUGCUAUGGUGCUUUCUUUUUAUGUUACACCAUAGGUUCAGAGACAUGAGUUCCGAAUUAGUAGUAGAUUCCAGAUUCAGCAGUUAGAGUAGGAGUGAUUCCUCAUUCUUCAAGGACAUAAUAAUUUUCUAGUAUCUCAUUGAUUAGCUUAUUAGUUGCAGUUAGUUGGGGACAUAUCCCAUCAACUCCUUAUUCAGAUUCUUUAGACAGUAGAGACUUUUAGACUAGAUGCAGACUAGAUACAGACUAUCAUAUUUUAGACUUCAGUUUUGUUUUGGGUAUUCUAUUACCCCACACAGAUGUUACGUUAUUCAUUUAUGUUCAUGAUCAAACCUUAUGUCCUUUCAGUGCAUGUUUCCGUAUUAUUAUGUUAUCUUAUGCCGUAUAAAGGUACAUAUAUCAGUCAUGGGAUAGCUUGUGGUUCUUCGGGGUCAUGAGCACCGUGUAGCAUUCCAGUUCAGCAAAUUGGGUCAUUACAAACUUGGUAUCAGAGCCUAAGGUUCAAUAGAUUCCUAGGAAGUCUGAAAGCCGCAUCUAGUAGAGUCUUGUGCAUGGGUGUGUUGCGCUCCUCAUUUAUGUGCAAGAGGAUAUGAGAUGUUUAAGAAUAGUUUCCCUGCUUUUAGUAUUUAUGUCAUGCCAGUGAGCAUAAUCAUAAGUCAGAGCAUAAUCAUAAGUCAGUCUCUCAGUCUAAUUCGCUUCUUCUCUUUAUUUCAGAACAUGCCUCCUAAGAGAAGAAAUCAG
rnacentral:lncRNA from 1 species